rnacentral:tRNA from 1 species
AGGCGGGUAGCUCAGUUGGUUAGAGCACCGUGUUUACAUCGCGGUGGUCGCUGGUUCGAGUCCAGUUCCGCCUA